AAAUGGAUGGUGGCUAUGCAUUUGGAGCUGAUAAAGUUGUCGAAAACGUUAAACGACUGUUUUGAUAUCAUCCUUUUGAUAGAACUCAUGAGCUGCGGUUCGAGACUGGGCUUAGCAUUGUACAUUGUACUGAUCAUAAUCAUUGAGAGUCACUGGAAGAACUACUCGACGAAUCUGUGGACAUAACUUCCACAUCCUCUGUUUCCUGUUUGUGAGUAUUCAUAGCGACGCUCCCUUGGCCGCUCACCGACAUAUGUAUUUCACCAGAGGGAUGCCAU